AUUGAACGCUGGCGGCGUGCUUAACACAUGCAAGUCGAUCGGUAACAGGUGCGAGCAAUACAUGCUGACGAGAGGCGGACGGGUGAGUAAUGCUUGGGAAUCUGCCUAUUAGGUGGGGACAACCCGGGAACUCGGGCUAUACCGCAUACGCUCUACGGAGGAAAGCCGGGGACCGACAAGGCCUGGCGCUAAUAGAUGACGCCCAAGUCGGAUUAGC
rnacentral:rRNA from 1 species